rnacentral:sRNA from 1 species
UUUUUUCCAAAAACGAACCGGACAUUUGAAAUAACAAACGUGAUCGAAGAACUCUGAAUGCACGCUCUACAUCUUUUCUACAUGCUAUUUGUU